rnacentral:misc_RNA from 1 species
UCGGAAGGUGCGGCUGGAUCACCUCCUUUCUAUGGAGAAUCGUUUCCUGCAAUGGAAACAUUCAAAUCGUUCUCAAUGAGAACACAAUCAAGCCAGGUCGGCUUGGAACUCACUCGUUGUCAGUUUUGAAAGAGCAACCCUCUUUCAAGUUGAUCCUUGAAAACUGGAUACCGAAACGAAACAUCGCGUUUUAGAAACUGUUCUUAACUGACACUGUGUAAACAGGAUCGGUCAUGAAUAAGUAAGAUAUAGGUUCUUCUGUAAAGAAGACCACCAACUAGGUUAAGCUAGUAAGAGCACAC